rnacentral:lncRNA from 1 species
UGGACUUCAGAUGACUCAGACUGACAUUUUUUGGCAGUUAAAAGGAGGUGCAAAUUCUUUCUGCUGUGGGUAUGGAAGUGCAGUUGAAAAGUAUUUUGUUUUUCAGCAUAAUGGGACUGCAGUCACUUCGGCAAAUCUCCAGAAACCGCUAAUACAGCCAGCGCUAUGGUCUGAAAAAGCCCAAUGUGACUGCUAAGGAAUGCAUAUGCUCCAUUCUGUAGCACCACGUACUCCUGCAACUGCCUUUCCAUGUAGCUGGCUGCAAGGGCCAGGUGGCCAGUCCUGAGACUGAAACAUUGGACUAUGCCCACAGGCAGAUCAGUCGUAGGACAGCUGCAGUAUGCCCACCUAGUACACAG